CAUUUGAAAUUUUGUGCAGCAGCUCGAGCUCCACUUCCAGCUGGCUCCGCUGCUGCUGCUGCUGCUGCUGAGUUUGCUUUUAAGCUCGAUGCGCUGAUAAAACAAAAACAACGACGCAAAAGGCAAAAAAGCGAAGAGAAAAAAAAAACGAAAAAAUAAUAUGAAAUGUACAAAACUCGGGCGUUUGUUUGAGAAAUGUAAAUCUGCCAAAUGUUUUUAUGCUGGCGCUUUCGGCUUUUGACUCUCAGCUGUUUGUUUCCAAUUAGAGAGUCUCUACCACGGGGCGUAUGAUAAUUGGAUAGCCAUGCAUGCCCCGCCUUCUGCGGACCCGUCUUUGGUGCCCAAGCCCAAGUAGAGUAGCUCGUCCAAGGCUCUUUUUUUACUGUUAGCUGUUAGCUUUUAGACGUCUGCAGUGUGCUUUUGCUCUUUGUCCAACAGAUAAAUGGACAGCACCCGUGAGACCCCGAAUGGGGAAGCGGGGAUGCAACGGGGGUGGGCAAGGCAAAGUCAACAACAACGUCAACAAACAUGGCUAGAAGUAGAGCAAGAAGUGGAAGCAGCAACAACAAAGGCGCGUCAACAGUUGACAAGUGGUUCCUAAGAAGGAAGCUGGCGAAUAUGAAGGAUAAACACCAUGAAAUACUCUAAAAAUUGAGUUGCAGAAACGCUUGCUUUAAAAAUAUUAAAUUAACAAAUUGAGAAGUAGCCUCAACUCUAUAAAUCUAUAAACAAACAAGAAUUAAGCUAAAAAAUAUAAAUUGAAAAGCAUUUUCAACUCAUUAAAUCUUUAAACAAACAUUAACGCAAAUUGAGCCAGCUUUAAAAAAUAUUAAAUUGAAAAAUUGAAAACCUCUUACAGCUUGAUGAUGAAUGCAACAUACCCUUUAGGCAUUGCGAAAGGGUAACGACGAAGCUAAAGUAUACCUUUGAGCGGCACUGCAAUAAGAUAGCAAAAUGUGGGCGAAGUGAGAUGGCUAUAAAUACUAGCAGACGCCUUGGGAACGUCGUCGUCUGACAGUUGCUAAAACUAUGCCAACGGCACUUAAGGUUAAAGCAGCAGCAGCAGCAGCAGUAGCAGACGAACAAGUAGUUGCCGGAUGGCAGGCGGGGUCAGUGUGGCAGUCGGUUAGUCAAUGGUCGCUCGCAAUGGACGCAACAGUUGGUUGGCCACUCGUUUAGGGUUUUUGGUACCCAGCGUGCAGAAACAGAACAGAAUGACAACCGCGACGACACGGCAAUUUGGUCAGGCUCGAAGCACACAAACAAAGUGGCCAACGUGCUCGCUCUUGUCUUUAUUGUUGUGCUUUGUUUGCUGUUGCUGCUGUUGUUGUUGCUUUAGUAGCUGGAAAAAUGUUUGCUAGCAGCCGUUGCACAUUAUUGUUGCGCCUUUUAUGAGUGUGCUACACAUUGCGUAUACGUAAUAUGGCAAGCUGUUGAUAAAGCAAACAGUAAAUUGUUGACUAUGCAGCAAUUUGAGUAAAAUAAUAUUAUUUCUCGUACA